UAGUGAGUUUGAUCCUGGCUCAGGAUGAACGCUAGCGGCAGGCCUAAUACAUGCAAGUCGAACGGUGGUAGCAAUACCGAUAGUGGCGCACGGGUGCGUAACGCGUAACCAACCUGCCCUGAACUGGGGGAUAGCCCGCCGAAAGGCGGAUUAAUACCGCAUAAACCAACAGAGUGGCAUCACUUAAAUUGGUAAAAGAUUUAUUGGUUCAGGAUGGGGUUGCGUGACAUUAGCUAGUUGGCGGGGUAACGGCCCACCAAGGCGACGAUGUCUAGGGGGACCUGAGAGGGUGAUCCCCCCGACACCGG
rnacentral:rRNA from 1 species